rnacentral:tRNA from 1 species
CGCGGGGUAGAGAAAUUGGCAUCUCGCAAGGCUCAUAACCUUGAGGCUGGCGGUUCGAGUCCGCCCCCCGCAACCA